CACGUAGGUGGUUUGGUAACUCAGUCGUGGAAUCCCGCCGCUCACCGGUGGAAUUGCGACUGAAAAUGCCAGACUUGAGCGCAGGAGGGGUGAGAGGAACUCUAGGUGGAGCGGUGAAAUGCGUAGAUAUCUAGAGGAACGCCGGAGGCGAAAGCGUCUCACUGGCCUGCUGCUGACACUGAGGUGCGAAAGCCAGGGGAGCAAAACG
rnacentral:rRNA from 1 species